CAAUAGCGUAUAUUAAAGUUGUUGCAGUUAGAACGCUCGUAGUCGGAUUUCGGGGCGGGUCGACCGGUCUGCCGAUGGGUACGCACUGGCCGACGCGUCCUUCCUUCCGGAGACCGUCUCACUCUUAACUGAGCGGAGGCGGGAGACGGAACGUUUACUUUGAAAAAAUCAGAGUGUUUCAAGCAGGCAGCUCGCUCUUGCAUGGAUUAGCAUGGGAUAAUGAAAUAGGACUUUGGUGCUAUUUUGUUGGUUUCGAACACCGAAGUAAUGAUGAGAAGGGACAGUCAGGGGCACUCGUAUUCCGCCGAGAGAGGUGAAAUUCUCAGACCAGCGGAAGACGAACCACUGCGAAAGCAUUUGCCAGGGAUGUUUUCACUGA
rnacentral:rRNA from 1 species